UUCCCAUACCGUGGGGGGACAUCGUCGUACGGUAGCACCGCCUAUAAAAAUAAUUUGGAUUGGGUACCUACGUAUGCUAAAACCCACACGGACAAUCAAGGGAAUUGGGUUGAUCCGGUUGCUGAACAAAAUUACCGGAACAUACAACAGGCCACAGAUGAAUGGAGCGGCGAUGGUCCUCCAAUUGCCCCGUAUCAAGAAGCGUUGGGAGAGCGGGGAGGAUG